rnacentral:sRNA from 1 species
GAGUGGGAGAAAGACAGAGCUGGAAUUAUAUACAGAGAGUAUACAGGAGACACAGAAGCUCUAAGUGAUGGUAUCCUAUGCUGUGAUCACCCGGUGAUCACGGUAAUGCCCCAUCUGGACUUCCAUGUCACAACUAGGGUGACCCCUCUGCAACUCUGAUACAGAAGAUGCCGAGAGAGAGAGAGAGAGAGAGAGAGAGAGAGAGAGAGAGAGAGAGAGAGAGAGAGAGAGAGAAGGCUAUGGGAGGGUGGUCAGCGAAGAACCAGGAGUUAGCAGGAGUCAGAGGGUUUCUGGUCCAGAGCAUCUACUUUGUUCCCAGCUCCUGACACAGGGCUCCAGCAUGCCUUGUGCCUUCUCCAACAGGGUUGCAGGGUUCUUCUGAACAGUUGUUCUUCUCUGAUGGCCUGUGCUCUCUGGAGGUUAAGAGAAGAGAGGCGGAGGCUGCUGGGAGAGAGAGGCUGGCAGAAGGCAAUCAGUCACUGUCACUUGCAGCUGUGCACUGCUGUCAACUGGUUAAUUAGAUGCCAGCAUUUACAUUUUUAAUUUCUGCUAUUUGACAUUUUAUGCAUCAGACCUCCAAGUCCCCCGCCAGAGGAGAGACGCACAGUUUCCUAAUGAGGAAGUAAGAGGUCCCCGUGCCCCUAAGACGACCACUUUCUCAUCCUCUACAAUGUGCUUUAGGGUUGGUUGUAGGUGGCAGGAAAUAAAGAAGAGGUAGCUGAAAAGAUGGGGAGUCACUGGCAAGUCAAGAGGUCCUGUAGUUGCUGGCCCAUGUUACACCAAGUCACUGGGCUGCAGGGCUGCAGCCAUCAGCAUAAGGAAGAGAAUCAGCAUCAGAAUCUGGGAAGGGAGAAGAGAUUCCAGGUGAGGUAUCAGCAAGGGGUUUAAGGAGGGAAACUCCUUCAAGGUUUUCUGAAUCUUGACUCUCAGAGCUCCAAGGGCUCAGGCUUCCUUCACAAGGUUAACCAUAUAGUGUCACUGUUCCUGCUCUGUGUGUUUUUUUGCUUAUAUCCCUCCCUCUUCUGACAGGGUAUUCCUGCCCCAUUCCCUUGCCACUCCCCUAAAUUCUCCCUGUCCCCAACAGUGCCAGUACUUGGGUGACAGACUCAUCAUAAAUGGUGUUUUAGGGCUCCACCGAUCUCUGGCUCUAGGCCUACAGUGAAUGACAGCUUAAUCUGUGACCAGAAUCUUCCCAGGCAUGUAAGAGCAGAGAUGGCUGCUUGCCUUGGGCCACAGUCUGCUGGGAUUGCCACUGCAUUUCAGGGAAGGAAAAGAUCUGGUCACUGGCCAGGGAAGGGGGUAGUCAGAAGGAAACUCCUGUGGCCUCAAAAACCAGUUUCCUGCAGCAGACACAGUACCCACUGCCUGUUGAGUGCCAUCUUGCUGUGUGGUUGGCAAGGAGGUCUUGGUCUUUGGCUUGCUGCCUAGAUGAUAAUGAGUCAAAGGCUGGAUGAUGAGACCUUUCAGGGAGCACUUGAGAACAUUUGGAAGAUGUGCUGCCCUUGACUCAUCUAAACUCCUGAGUCCUGUCCUUAACAAGGCUCUUUCUUACAGACUUCCAGUCCUCAGAAACCCCAUAGCCCUUGUGUUCUUGACCUGCUUCAUUUCUGUUCCUUCACCCUAGAAGGCAUUUUUAUUAACAAGGCAGGCUCUACCCCAAACACGUGUCUCCAUGCUCCAAUACUGAGGUUUGAGUGAAUUAGUGAUGUUCUAGAUACUGUAGGUCCAGCAGGUAUCUCCGUUCAUUGCCACUAAUAAAAUCUGGAUCCAAUAAAUGCCAACCUUCCAGUUUACAGCAGAAGCAUAAAAGUUUCACUAGCAGGUUCCUGACCUUGGCAUUGCCAAGAUUUGUGUCGCUGUGCCCUCGUGGAUCCUGUGACUACCAAGCCAGAUAGGUUUGCCAAGGAAGUUAUCUUUAAGGUCCUAUUCCUGAGAAACGUGAGCAGUGAUUUCUCUCACUUUCACUACUAUGGCCAAGAGCUCAUUGGACAUGGCUGUGUUCAAGGCUUUUGUCCACACUCUGUCAUCCGUAGAGAACCAAUCUCUGUGUGGGAUGGAAAACUCAGGUUCCCACAGAGAGGACAUAACUGUCAACAGAAGUGAAGGCUCCUGCUGCUCCUGUUGCCUGCCUGUGAAACUGUCAGGCUUCUUACAGACAACACAGGCUCCCCUGCUGCCUUCAUGGUCCCUGAGGGGCAUAGUAGCCUAGGCUAGAGAUUAUUGUCUGCACACAGAACUGACCCUUUCCAUGCCAGAAGCAGAAGAUGCUUGAUGUCUGUCCCUUGCAAUUGUUUGCCUCCUGCAGAGUGCAUAAGUAAGGCAUUUCUCCAAAGAGAAUACUUAGGAAAAGUGAGAAAAGGAGUGUGUGUGUGUGUGUGUGUGUGUGUGUGUGUGUGUGUGUGUGAACGAGAUAACAGAGAAGUUUGUAGAGGGUUGGAAAAAUAAGAAUGGAGAGGGUAAGUAAGAACAGGGACUAGAACUUUCUCAUCUGAAGCUAAUGGGCGAAGACAUGUUGACUAGGAUGUGCCUUCCAGUCUUCUCCCUGAUAUGCUAUUAGCUCCCCCAUGGUAUGGCUUCAUUUCUGAUACUCUUCUUUGCCCUGAGGAGACUGGUCUGGACCAGGGCAUGUCUGAGGUUCUCUGUUAGCCCCUGGGCAGAUCAACUACAUCGAUUUAUCUUUGGAGGUUCUGGAUGGGUGGAGGCAAGUGGCUAGAGGCAACUCAGUUACUGGCUUUGUACCCUGUUCUCAGCCCUAGGCUGCCUGCUGUUCAAUGGUCCCAUUCUCUCUGCAGAGCUUAGCUAAUGCUUCCAUCCCCUCCAAGGCUCUGCCCAGCCUACAGCUAGCCAGUCCAUCCCCCGCCCCCCAGGCUGACCAUGACCCUGCAUGGAGUCUUCUCCGCCAUGCAUACAAUUCCUUCUUCCCACUCCCGCCAAGCUGGCCUUCAUGCUGGGACUUUAGCAGAGAUGCCUUAUCGAUUGCUAAGAAUGCAAUAAAGCCCUGACAAUGAACUUCAAACAAGUGUUCUCAUCAGCUGACUGCACACGGAGAACAGAAAGGUCAGCCUUGACCCUCUUCUUGAACUUACAGAAUUUCUGCCUACAAUGAGCCCCCUCUUCAGAGAGGCUCUGAAAGUUACCUAGCUCUCCUCCUCCCCCAUACCAGAACUGGCUGGCCCUGGCAACCUGGACUGCUGACUUCCAUUGCUCUGGCAGGGAGGGGCUGAGUUCUGCCCAUGACUUUAGGUCACUUUUCUUGCUGAGCUUUGCCCAACCUAGUGGGAGGCCAGCCUCUGGGGCCCCACAUCAGAGCUCAGGGAGUGCUAUUCAGGCAAAGGUCCUGGAUUCUUCCACGUUCGUGAGUCUGAGUGUGAUGGGUAGAAAGAAGCUGGAAGGAAUCUUCAGCGGAGUGUUAUGGUAGGUGGAUGGAAAUACAGACAGGAUGUCAUUUUGAGCCUCAUGCUGUGAUGCCUUUAAAUGUGGCUUUCAGAGGCCUCUGGGAAUAGAUGGCUGAUGUACCCCAGACUCGGAGGAAUGAAAGCCUCACUCCUUGAUCCCUCCAACUCCAGCUUGUGGGUCUUGCUAGACACUAAGAUGUGAGAGCUGCAAGAACGGGUCAGGUCUAGUGUUUCCCUUGUGCCCAAUACACUCAGAGUGGCACACAGAUGCAUCCAUGUCAGCUUAGGGAGUGCGUGUAUGCCAGAUGCCCAGGCUCCCCUCAGAGCUGCUUCCAGGGCAGCUUUCACUUAUAUCUAAAGCCAGAGAUCUUCGCCACUGGUGGGGAGAUGGCACAGAGUUCAUGAGGGUUCCUUAGAAGGUGUAUUUAAAUGCUUACAAUGUGUCACCUUCUUUGUGCUACGCUGCAUGCCAUAGAUAUAGCAUGUUGUUUGUACAUGGCACACCCUGCUGUGGUCCCUGAGUGAGCCAACAGCGGCUCUUCUCUGCUCAGCUCCUACAGACAAAGUCUGCACACAGUAAAUGAGUGAGAGUCAUACUACUAGGGACAGGGUUAAAAUCGGAGGAACCGGGAGAUCAGAGGGUAAUGGAGUGUAUAUAAGCAGAGCAUGAUAUUCCUAUAGAAAAUGUCAUAAUGAGGCCCAUUACUGGGCAUAAUGGAUAUGAAACAAUAGUCUUUAAAUAAACAAUAACAACAAAACAACAAAGAAAAGCCAACCCAGGGAAAGUAGAGUCCACUGCUACGGAUAGUACAAUAGAAAGGACAGCCAAUCACAUGCCAGCUUCAGGAGAAUGAACAAUUGGGUUCUCUCAGGGAAGGCAGUACAGCAAUCAACAGUUCUGAGGAAAGCAAGAGGCUCUCCUCUCACACUUAACCACAAGCAAAAACCCGACUGCGAGAGUAAAGGAUGAAAGCAUUCAGGGGUCACCACCACUACCAUGACAAGAUGUGCCGCACAGCUGGACAUUGGAUUAACAGUUAAGAAGAGAAGUGGUCACCCUUCAAGUGGAUGCAAGCUGAGAAUGGAGUGCCUGUGCUUUUUAACCAAGCCAAAGUCCCAGGGCUCACCAGAAAGCACCUGACUUUCAUGGAUACUUGUUGGACAAACCUGAAAUUGCUGGGAUGAAUUCAAGAGGCCUCCAAAGCAGGAGAGAAAGGUCAGAAAUGCAUCUGGGAGUCGCCACAGAUUUCUUGGGCUGCUGGAGCAAACCACUGGCCACAAGAGUGUCUGCCUCUAAGUCUUGGAAGUUAAUUUACCAGCUCCUCGGCAAGGACUCCAUUACCUUCAGCCAUUAGGCUAAUGUUAUGGACUUUUGCAGAGUGUCUGAACUGACAUUGCUAUUAAUAGUGUUAUUACGCCCAUUAGCAGCAGACCCAGAGAACUGGUAUGGCUUCAAUUAUUCACUGACUCACCAACUUUGAAGUUCUUGUUUUCAAGACGAAUCAGUAGGUCUGAAAAAAUAUCUUUGAUUAAAUUAUAAAGAGUGUGUGUGUAUUGAGGUGGGGGAUAAAGCUGCUUCCUGGCCAAACAUCACCAGAAGUCACUUAAUAGAAUAGAUGGGCUUCAUCUCUCUCCCAGGUUGGGGGAAGUGACACUGGUAGUUAAACAGGGACAAGUCUGACCUGUGUUGUUUGCUGCUACCCAGAUUCCCAGGGCUGCAUCUUGCUCCAGUUCUAGAAAGUACUGUAUACACAAAACCAUGCAUAAUUUAUAGCUUCAAGCAUCAGGGCUAAAUGCUUAACCUCUUGACGCCUUAGUCUUUUCUUCUAGAAAAUGGGAGCAAAAUAGUAGCAAACAGCUAGGGGUUCCUGAAGAUGUCAUAAGGUAAGAGUGCAGUAAGCAGUUAUAAGAAGAGAUGUCAACAAGUGUGAGCUGGUAUUGUUAGCCCAUCACUUCCCUAAGUCCUCGUUCCAUGGCUCCAAACUACAGCUGAUACAGAACGUUUCAUCAUUUCAUUGUGCACAUCAAAGGGAGAAGGGAAGGCUGAGGCAGUGUUCCUUACAAUGAAGGUGGAGGGAGAGGCUCAGAGGCCAGGAAGACCAGGAGAGAGAAAGCAUGCUAUGGGUUGUUUUCUUAAUAGCUGUCAAAGCAUAUUGAGAACUCAGCUCUCUCUCAGUGGAAAGUUAAGCUUAAGGUCAGAACCAGGGGUGUUUUGACAUUUCUACCAUCCUGCAUGGUUCACGAGGGUGGAGGCUACAAAUGUCUAAAAGCACAGACAACUGACCUUAAAUGUGAUGGGAUAAUGGCAGGGAAGGUCCCAGGCUUCUGAUGUCUUGUGGGGUUCGUCAAGGUAAUAGCCCUUGGCUCUUUGAGGACUGUGGUUUUCUAGUGACUCAGACCAGAGUUAAAAUGUGAAAGGGCUUCAUUUCUGUUCUUACAGGAGUUCCUGAGUCAGUUCCCACCAAGGGCUCCAGUAUGUGGGAAGGCAGUACUCUCCAUUCUUUAGGAGAGGCAUCAAGGUCUCGCUUCAUCUGUUUUCCAUGUAGAGGAAGUUGUGCUUAUGCAGACUCACAAAAUACAUGCUUUGCAACUGA